rnacentral:rRNA from 1 species
UACCUGCAGCUCGAGUGGUAACCGCUAUUAUUGGGCCUAAAGCGUCCGUAGCCGGUUUGGUAAAUAUCUGGGUAAAUCGUGAGGCUUAACUUCACGAAUUUCGGAUAGACUGCCAGACUUGGGAUCGGGGGAGGGUCAGAGGUACUCCAGGGGUAGCGGUGAAAUGUUGUAAUCCUUGGAGGACCACCGGUAGCGAAGGCGUCUGACUAGAACGAGUCCGACGGUGAGGGACGAAGCCCUGGGGCGCAAACCGGAUUAGAUACCCGGGUAGUCCAGGGUGUAAACGAUGUGGGCUUUGUAUUGGAGGUCCCACGUGGGCGUCCAGUGCAGAAGAGAAGUUGUUAAGCCCACCGCCUGGGAAGUACGGUCGCAAGGCUGAAACUUAAAGGAAUUGGCGGGGGAGCACAGCAACGGGAGGAGCGUGCGGUUU